GCUACAGUUUUGAUCGUCGAAUCAUAUCUCCGCCGCUGACGUGAGAAUCUCCUUCCUUCUUACCGCAAUUUCCAGAAGCAAAGGAGGAAGCUUUAGUAUUAAUAUUUUUUUAGAGAGAGAGAGAAACGAAGCAAUGGGUGUAAUCACGAACAAGGUUGAGAGAGACGAGCUUAAACCUGGUGAUCACAUCUACACUUACCGAGCCGUCUUCGCCUAUUCUCACCACGGUGCUUUGGUUCUUCCUUUUAUGAUAUCAUCAUCAAUUGGGUUUUGAUGCAUUUUGUGUGAAUCAUCAUUUUUCCUCAAUUUUAGGUUUUUCAUCAUUCAUUGUACAGAGGAAGAAAGAAACAG
rnacentral:lncRNA from 1 species